CAAUCGCGUAUAUUAAAAUUGAUGCGGUUAAAGCGCUCGUAGUUGGAUUUCUGCCGAGGACGACCGGUCCACCCUUUGGGUAGGUAUCUGCCUCAUCUUCUGGGAGAGCGUAGCUGCAGCAUGGAAUAAUAAGAUAUGACCUCGGUUCUAUCUUGUUGGUCUCUCGAGCUGAGGUAACGACUAAUAUGGAUAGUUGGGGGCAUUCGUAUUUAAUUGUCAGAGGUGAAAUUCUUGGAUGUGUUAAAGACGGGCUACUGCGAAAGCAUUUGCCAAUGGCGUUUUCAUUUG
rnacentral:rRNA from 1 species